AUGUUAGGGAAAGGAACCUUGCUGAUGAUCAAGCCAGAUAUUACUCCAUCUCCUUCAGUCUACAGGCUGAUCUCUAAAGAUGAUGAGGAUUUGGAAAUGUGUCUUAUCACAGAUUACUCUCCUGAAAAGCUUACUCUUAACUUGGCUGAUAAACAGACAAAUACUGUUGUGGAGGUGGCAACAUCCGAGAACAAACAGGAAGCAAGUUACCUGUCAUCAUACUGGGCCAAGAAGAAUGAAAUGCAGUGUGGUGCAAAUCACGAGGGCUUUGGAGAACUGGAGGGCGAGGAUCCUGAAAGUGGUACCAGCACUCUCUGUGUUACAGGGGUAUCUCUACACUUCAGGACAGAUGAAAACCUGAACAUGCUGUCUUUAUCACAGCUGGGCCUGAAAAUUAUUUUAAUGAAAGGAGUAAUUUUUAAUGUGCUGAUGACGAUGCUUAUGUGGAAAAAAAAAUGUGAACAGGGACACAAGCAUGGUCUGUACCAGGAGCAGAGCUUGAAGAUAUCUAUAGACUUGUUGAAGCUUAUUCAGAUGUGGGAGUAG